AGUAAGAUAAGCUAAAUAAAGCUUUUGGGCCCAUACCCCGAAUAUGAUACUCCUAAUAUCUCUUACUA
rnacentral:tRNA from 2 species